UACGAAGGGGGCUAGCGUUGCUCGGAAUCACUGGGCGUAAAGCGCACGUAGGCGGAUUGCUAAGUCAGGGGUGAAAUCCUGGAGCUCAACUCCAGAACUGCCUUUGAUACUGGCGAUCUCGAGUCCGGGAGAGGUGAGUGGAACUGCGAGUGUAGAGGUGAAAUUCGUAGAUAUUCGCAAGAACACCAGUGGCGAAGGCGACUCACUGGCCCGGUACUGACGCUGAGGUGCGAAAGCGUGGGGAGCAAACAGG
rnacentral:rRNA from 1 species